GAUGAACGCUGGCGGCGCGCCUAACACAUGCAAGUCGAACGAUUAAAGCACCUUCGGGUGUGUAUAAAGUGGCGAACGGCUGAGUAACACGUGGGCAACCUGCCCCUUUCAUUGGGAUAGCCACGGGAAACCGUGGAUAAUACCGAAUACUUCGAGACUUCCGCAUGGAAGACUCGAGAAAGCUCCGGCGGAGAGGGAUGGGCCCGCGGCCUGUUAGCUUGUUGGUGGGGUAACGGCCUACCAAGGCAAUGAUGGGUAGCUGGGUUGAGAGACCGACCAGCCAGAUUGGGACUGAGACACGGCCCAGACUCCUACGGGAGGCAGCAGUGGGGAAUCUUGCACAAUGGGCGAAAGCCUGAUGCAGCGACGCCGCGUGCGGGAUGAAGGCCUUCGGGUUGUAAACCGCUUUCAGCAGGGACGAGGCGAAAGUGACAGUACCUGCAGAAGAAGCCCCGGCUAACUACGUG
rnacentral:rRNA from 1 species